UACGAGUGGUGCAAGCGUUAUUCGGAAUCAUUGGGCGUAAAGGGCGCGUAGACGGUGCGUUAAGUCUGCUGUUAAAUCCUUCAGCUUAACUGAAGAUCAGCGGUGGAUACUGGCGUGCUAGAGGGUGGAAGAGAGAAGUGGAAUUCUCGGAGUAGCGGUAAAAUGCGUAGAUCUCGAGAGGAACACCAAUGGCGAAGGCAGCUUCUUGGUCCAUUCCUGACGUUGAGGCGCGAAAGCGUGGGGAGCAAACAGG
rnacentral:rRNA from 1 species